UACAGAGGGUGCAAGCGUUAAUCGGAAUUACUGGGCGUAAGCGUGCGUAGACGGUUGCGUAAGUCAGAUGUGGAAAGCCCCCGGGCUCAACCUGGGAAUUGCAUUUGAGACUGCGUAGCUAGGGUGCGGAAGAGGGAAGCGGAAUUUCCGGUGUAGCGGUGAAAUGCGUAGAUAUCGGAAGGAACACCAGUGGCGAAAGCGGCUUCCUGGUCCAGCACCGACGUUCAGGCACGAAAGCGUGGGGAGCAAACAGG
rnacentral:rRNA from 1 species